AGAGUCAAUCGGAUGACCGCUCUUGUACCGUAAGGUAUAGGGGAGGAAAGUCCGGGCGUUAUCGGGUGAGAUGCUGGCUAACGGCCAGGCGUUCGCUUCUAGCGGAUGACGGAAAGUGCCACAGAGACGAGUCCCUGUAUCGUAAGGUACAGGGGGUGAAACGCGGCAAACCCCAUCUGACGCAAGACCAAAUAAGUCUCAUUUUUCAACUGACCCAGUUGAGUUUUGGGAAACCAGAACAAUGAGGCGGGUAGGUCGCUUGAGCCUGUCAGUAAUGCCAGGCCUAGAGAAAUGGUCAUCCUCUGUACUGUCAUGGUGCAGGGACAGAACCCGGCUUAUAGAUUGACUCUCUCA
rnacentral:RNase_P_RNA from 1 species